GACGAACCGUGCAAACGUUGUUCGGAAUCACUGGGCUUAAAGGGCGCGUAGGCGGGCAAGCAAGUCCGGGGUGAAAUCUUUCGGCUCAACCGGAAAAGUGCCUUGGAUACUGCUUGUCUGGAGGGAGGUAGGGGCAUGCGGAACUUCUGGUGGAGCGGUGAAAUGCGUUGAUAUCAGAAGGAACGCCGGUGGCGAAAGCGGCGUGCUGGACCUCUUCUGACGCUGAGGCGCGAAAGCUAGGGGAGCAAACGGG
rnacentral:rRNA from 3 species